CCCACUAUGCUCAACUGUUAACACAGAUAGAACCACCACACCUCUAUCCGCCAGAGAACUACAAGCGCAAGCUCAAAACUCAAAGGACUUGACGGUGUCCCAAACCAACCUAGAGGAGCCUGUCCUAUAAUCGAUACUCCACGCUACACCUUACCCCCCCUCGAAACCAGUCUGUAUACCGCCGUCUACCAGUUCGCCUUAUGAUAGACCCAUAGCGAACACAACAGCCCACCACUCAGACGUCAGGUCAAGGUGCAACCAAUGGGGGGGCAGCGAUGGGCUACAUUUUCUACCAAUCAGAGCAAUACCACCCACCACAUGAAACAUGGGCCAAAAGGCGGAUUUAGCAGUAAGCUAGACAAGAAUGUCUAACUGAAGCCUGCUCUGGGACGCGCACAC
rnacentral:rRNA from 1 species